rnacentral:rRNA from 1 species
UACGUAGGGAGCAAGCGUUGUCCGGAUUCAUUGGGCGUAAAGGGUGCGUAGGCGGCGCGGUAAGUCGGGUGUGAAAUCUCGGGGCUUAACUCCGAAACUGCAUUCGAUACUGCCGUGCUUGAGGACUGGAGAGGAGACUGGAAUUUACGGUGUAGCGGUGAAAUGCGUAGAUAUCGUAAGGAACGUCAAUGGCGAAGGCAGCCACCUGGCAUAAUACUGACGCUGAGGCACGAAAGCGUGGGGAGCGAACAGG